rnacentral:rRNA from 1 species
GAUGCAGCGACGCAGCGUGCGGGAUGACGGCCUUCGGGUUGUAAACCGCUUUCAGCAGGGAAGAAGCGAAAGUGACGGUACCUGCAGAAGAAGUACCGGCUAACUACGUGCCAGCAGCCGCGGUAAUACGUAGGGUACGAGCGUUGUCCGGAAUUAUUGGGCGUAAAGAGCUCGUAGGUGGUUGGUCACGUCUGCUGUGGAAACGCAACGCUUAACGUUGCGCGUGCAGUGGGUACGGGCUGACUAGAGUGCAGUAGGGGAGUCUGGAAUUCCUGGUGUAGCGGUGAAAUGCGCAGAUAUCAGGAGGAACACCGGUGGCGAAGGCGGGACUCUGGGCUGUAACUGACACUGAGGAGCGAAAGCAUGGGGAGCGAACAGGAUUAGAUACCCUGGUAGUCCAUGCCGUAAACGUUGGGCACUAGGUGUGGGGGACAUUCCACGUUCUCCGCGCCGUAACUAACGCAUUAAGUGCCCCGCCUGGGGAGUACGGUCGCAAGGCUAAAACUCAAAGGAAUUGACGGGGGCCCGCACAAGCGGCGGAGCAUGCGGAUUAAUUCGAUGCAACGCGAAGAACCUUACCAAGGCUUGACAUACACUGGACCGUUCUGGAAACAGUUCUUCUCUUUGGAGCUGGUGUACAGGUGGUGCAUGGUUGUCGUCAGCUCGUGUCGUGAGAUGUUGGGUUAAGUCCCGCAACGAGCGCAACCCUCGUUCUAUGUUGCCAGCACGUGAUGGUGGGAACU